AUUGAACGCUGGCGGCAGGCCUAACACAUGCAAGUCGAGCGGUAGAGAGGUGCUUGCAUCUCUUGAGAGCGGCGGACGGGUGAGUAAUGCCUAGGAAUCUGCCUAGUGGUGGGGGAUAACGUUCGGAAACGGACGCUAAUACCGCAUACGUCCUACGGGAGAAAGCGGGGGAUCUUCGGACCUCGCGCCAUUAGAUGAGCCUAGGUCGGAUUAGCUAGUUGGUGAGGUAAUGGCUCACCAAGGCGACGAAUCCGUAACUGGUCUGAGAGGAUGAUCAGUCACACUGGAACUGAGACACGGUCCAGACUCCUACGGGAGGCAGCAGUGGGGGAAUAUUGGACAAUGGGCGAAAGCCUGAUCCAGCCAUGCCGCGUGUG
rnacentral:rRNA from 1 species